CCCUUAGAUGUCCUGGGCCGCACGCGCGUUACACUGAUGCAUUCAACGAGCUUAUAACCUUGGCCGAGAGGCCUGGGCAAUCUUGUUAACGCGCAUCGUGAUAGGGAUAGAUUAUUAAAAUUAUUAAUCUUGAACGAGGAAUUCCUAGUAAACGCAGAUCAUCAAUCUGCAUUGAUUACGUCCCUGCCCUUUGUACACACCGCCCGUCGCACCUACCGAUUGGAUGGUCCGGUGAAGCCUCGGGAUUGUGGUUCUUGCCGCUUUAUUGUGGCGUGACCGCGAGAACUUGUCUAAACCCUAUCAUCUAGAGGAAGGUGAAGUCGUAACA
rnacentral:rRNA from 1 species